GUUGAAASGGAAGCGCUUGCGACCAGACUUGCCCGCGGGUGAUCAACCGUCCUUCGGGGCGGUGCACUGACCCGCGGUGCAGGCCAKCAUCGGUUUCGGCGGCCAGAUAAACGGGGCGGGAACGUGGCUCCCCCCGGGGAGUGUUAUAACCCGCCUCAGCRUGUGGCCCGCCGGGACCGAGGACCGCGCUCCGGCUAGGAUGCUGGCGUAAUGGUCGUCAGCGACCCGUCUUGAAMCACGGACCAAGGAGUUGUCMAACGACGCGMGUCUUUGGGUGUUAMACCCACAGGCGCARUGAAAGUGAACKGAGGUGGGAACCCCCCUUGGGGGCGCACCAUCGACCGAUCCUGAUGUCUUCGGAUGGGAUUUGAGUACSAGCGUCNGUUGACUGAYCCKAAAGAUGGUGAACUAUGCGUGAAUAGGGUGAASCCMGAGGAAACUSUGGUGGAGGCUCGCAGCGGUUCUGACGUGCAAAUCGAUCGUCAAAUUUGCGUAUAGGGGCGAAAGACUAAUCGAACCAUCUAGUAGCUGGUUCCAGCCGAAGUUUCCCUCAGAUAGCAGUAACGUUUUCAGUUUUAUGAGGUAAAGCGAAUGAUUAGAGGGCCUUGGGGGAUGAAACAUCCUUAACCUAUUCUCAAACUUUUAAUAUGGUAAGAAGUCCUUGUUGGCUUAAUUGAACGUGGAC
rnacentral:rRNA from 1 species